ACGACUCUCGGCAACGGAUAUCUCGGCUCACGCAUCGAUGAAGAACGUAGCAAAAUGCGAUACUUGGUGUGAAUUGCAGAAUCCCGUGAACCAUCGAGUUUUUGAACGCAAGUUGCGCCCGAAGCCAUUUGGUUGAGGGCACGUCUGCCUGGGCGUCACNC
rnacentral:rRNA from 1 species